AAAACUUCCCUAAUUUCAUAAACCCUUACUAUUGAAACACUGUUCUCCUGGAUGGCCUCUGCGAUAAUCUCCGAUCCUCUUGUGUUCUCUGACGAUCUUCUCCGGUGACAUCUCCUCCGGCAUCGAUCUCCAUUGACGACAUCUCCUACAGCGACGAUUUCCUCCGGUGACGUCUCUUCCAGCUUCCUCUCCUUGUCGUCCUUUGUGUCGUCUCCACCAAAAUCGUCAACGCUUUCCUCUACGACAAUCCAGGUCAGCUUCCUUUCCUUCCUUUCCUCUCCUUUCCUUCCUUACCAUUCAGAUCCGCCGCUAGGGAUUGCAUUCCGCAGUAGAGGAAUUCCUUUGUCAACUUCCAAGCCAAAACCGGUGUAGAGGGACCAAAAUUUCAAGAGAUUGUUAAUAUUCGGUUAGGGGAUGGAACUUCUCGGCGUGGACAAGUUCUAGAAGUUGAUGGUGAGAAAGCUGUUGUUCAGGUACCUCUGGGAUUGACAAUAAGUUUACAACAGUGGAAUUUAUUGGAGAGGUAUAACUUGUUUUUAUUAUUGUCUACUUUAGCUUGAUGUCCAUGUGAAAUUGAGUUUGCAAAUUCAUUGUAAAUAUUUCAUGAAAUUUCUACUGUUUUGACUUCAUUAUUGUGUUUACUGAUGAGUGACAUGUUAAACAUUGUUCUGUUUGAUUAAUCGAGAGAGUUCAGUACCUCUUAAGCACUAAUUGUGUAAUUAUUUGAACUAGAAAUUAAAUUUUCUGUUUCUUAUGCAGUGAUCUUAGCAACAACCACAUUGGAGGGCCAUUCCAUUCAGUGUGUAAUAAACAUUGUGAAUAUACUGCUUAAAAAAUAAAUUAUAAACAUUUUGAAUAUACUGCUUUUGUGCUGUGUGCAGGCUGCCGUUAUGAAUUCACAGACCCUUGAAGAAGUUGCAAGACUUAAAAAGGUCCUUGCUUUUCUAGAUCUGAUGUUCACUUGUUCAAUUUUGAUUUUUACUCUCUACUGUUUACUUCUUAGAUGACCCUUUCUUCUUAUUGCUCAUUUUUGUAAAAAAGCAUUGAGAUUAUCAUGAACAUUAGACCAUGAUUUUCAAAGUUAAUAAUAAAAUGAGAUCUCAAAUGACUUGUUAUUUU